UUGUCUCAAAGAUUAAGCCAUGCAUGUCUCAGUACAAGCCAAAUUAAGGUGAAACCGCGAAAGGCUCAUUAAAUCAGUUAUGGUUCCUUAGAUCGUACCCACAAUUACUUGGAUAACUGUGGUAAUUCUAGAGCUAAUACAUGCAAACAGAGCUCCGACCGGAGACGGGAGGAGUGCUUUUAUUAGAUCAAAACCAAUCGGUGGCGGGUUCGCUCGUUAUCGUACAACUUGGUGACUCUGAAUAACUUUACGCUGAUCGCACGGUCAUCGCACCGGCGACGCAUCUUUCAAAUGUCUGCCUUAUCAACUGUCGAUGGUAGGUUCUGCGCCUACCAUGGUUGUAACGGGUAACGGGGAAUCAGGGUUCGAUUCCGGAGAGGGAGCCUGAGAAACGGCUACCACAUCCAAGGAAGGCAGCAGGCGCGCAAAUUACCCACUCCCGGCACGGGGAGGUAGUGACGAAAAAUAACGAUACGGGACUCAUCCGAGGCCCCGUAAUCRGAAUGA
rnacentral:rRNA from 1 species